ensembl:lncRNA SNHG27 small nucleolar RNA host gene 27
CAGAGUUGGGGCUGAGACCAGUCCUGGCCAGGGCAGUUACCAGGACGGUCUCCGGAGGCUGGGAUUCGCGGAGGGUCCGCCAGGAGGAAGAAACCUCAGACAGAUCGCCGGGGACGCAGCGCGGGAUCCCAGCCUCAGGCGUGCACGGACGGUGUGCGGGAAGGGAGUGUAUCCUGGUGUAUGACAGCAUAUAGUAGAGACCAGUGUCAAUUAGGGCCUGUGAACUGAGACAGGGUGACUGGCUAAGUCCACAACCCAUUAGAAACCCAGAAAUAAUCAAAUCAUGAGGGAUCAUGGAAAGGAAGCUGAAUUUGCUGAGUUUUGCCACGUGGGCAUUGCAUGCCUAUGUGAUUAACCACCAAUAAAAACCUGGGACAUCAAAAAAUAAAUAAGCUGCUUUAAUUGCCAAGAAUUCACAUGUGGUUGUAUGCAGCAUUACUGGGAGAUUGAAGUGUAUCUGCAUGUGAUUCUACUGUGAUGGACACUUGUAAAUUUGUGCCUGGAGUCUCCUGGAAUUUGCCCUGAGAAUCUUUUUCCUUUGUUGAUAAGAAUCUGCAUCCUUUUGUUUUAAUAAACGAUAAACAUGAGUAUAA